rnacentral:lncRNA from 1 species
UGGGCUUCAUUUUUUGCCCUAAGGCAAUGAGGUUAUCCUGAUGCUGAGGAAUCUAUGGCAAAUUUUCCUUUCUCCCUCAAACUAUCCUGUCAACCUUUUCAUAUUAGAAGGCAGAGAAUGGAAAAUACACAUACACAUUCUCCUUUAAAAAAAAAAAAUACAAGGAGCCUUGAGAAAUGGACAUGAUCCGUGUAUUUCUUGACCUCUGAGAUACCAUGGCUAAUCCCAACCAACCUGCAGAAAUACUGCUUCUGGAAGUUCCAUUUGCCUCCAUUCUGAGUGCUUAUUAACCCUGAAACUUUUGUCAGCUCAGGAAAAAGCAAAAGGUUCUAAACUAACUGGCUGCGCAGUGGAACACCCUUGUUCACCUCCUCACUGGGCUCCUGGGCCUCCAACUCCUGCCCUUCAGGUUCUAGGGUCCCGAAAUCAGGAUGGGUGUUUCAGUUGAUGCAUGCGUUUGAUGUGGUUGUGUUUCUUUUCCUCCGCCUAAAAGCAGUUAUUAAAAUGAUGGCGUUUGCAGAUCUAGAUUUGAAAGAAAAGAAUAA